GACUCUCAGCAACAGAUAUCUUGGCUCUUUCCAUGAUGAAGAAUGUAGUGAAAUGCAAUACUUAGUGUGAAUUUCAGAAUCCCAUGAAUCAUCAAGUCUUUGAACGCAAGUUGCGCUCGAGGCCUUGGUUGUGUGCACGUCUACUUGGGUGUCG